AGUGAACGCUGGCGGUAGGCCUAACACAUGCAAGUCGAACGGCAGCACAGUAAGAGCUUGCUCUUACGGGUGGCGAGUGGCGGACGGGUGAGGAAUACAUCGGAAUCUACUUUUUCGUGGGGGAUAACGUAGGGAAACUUACGCUAAUACCGCAUACGACCUACGGGUGAAAGCAGGGGAUCUUCGGACCUUGCGCGAUUGAAUGAGCCGAUGUCGGAUUAGCUAGUUGGCGGGGUAAAGGCCCACCAAGGCGACGAUCCGUAGCUGGUCUGAGAGGAUGAUCAGCCACACUGGAACUGAGACACGGUCCAGACUCCUACGGGAGGCAGCAGUGGGGAAUAUUGGACAAUGGGCGCAAGCCUGAUGCAGCAAUGCCGCGUGGGUGAAGAAGGUCUUCGGGUUGUAAAGCCCUUUUGUUGGGAAAGAAAAGCAGCAGGUGAAAACCCCGCUGUUCUGACGGUACCCAAAGAAUAAGCACCGGCUAACUUCGUG
rnacentral:rRNA from 1 species